CGUGUCGAUCAGCGGAUCAACACGACAACACCCUCGCCGGCUCGCUCGCCCAGCGCCCACCGCAUCCUCUGCCGGUUUUGCAAAAAAAGAACCCUCCGAAUUUUUGGAAAUCAAACGUAGUCCACCCGCAACCCCCAAACCCUAGCCGUCACCCGCUCCAGCCCGCACCUCCUCCUCGCGUCGUCACCCCGCACUCUCCUCCUCGCGCCGCCGCCGCUCCCGCGGCUCCCCUCCAUGCUCGCCUCCGUGGCCACGCGGAGGUGGAUCCGGCCGAGGACGCUGCUCCUGGACACAUCGGUGACCCGGCAUGCGGCUGGGCAGCUCGUGCCUCGCCCGAUGCGCCCGCCGGCGGGCAUCAAAAGGCUGCUGCCAGGGAGCUCUCUCAUAUCUAGCUAGGGCGGAUCUUCACCCGGCGGGCAGCGCAAGAUCUGCGGCGUGCGGCAGGUGGAUCGGCUCUGCGUGCUGGAGGUCACUGGCGCUGUUCUGGGGAACGCCAUGGUCAACGGCGCCGGCACCGCGUACAAUGCCAACGUCGCCGGUGAUGACCUCUUCGCCCGUCUCAUCGACGCGGACAAUCAAUGCGUCGAGAGUGAAGGCUGCAAAGAGAAGAACGGGCCGGCAGUGGUGACGCUUUAACGCUCAAAGGUGUCACCUAUCAAGAUGUCUUCGAGACGCUGGUACUUAUUUUGAAAUGGUCAUUUGGGUGGUGCAGAGAAGUGUGAUAUAAAAGAUCCGUCGUUGUCUACUGCUCCAAGUUUGCUGUCCAGCGGCUUCGUAGGAAGGUGUUUGUUGCUCCAAAGGUAGGUUCAGCGUUUGUUGCUCCGAAGGUAGGUUCAGCUUCCCUUUCCUGUUAAUGUCCUCUACUUUUGUUAGUUAGGUUUGGCUGCGACGAGUAACCAUGGUUGCUUAAUUAGGCCUACAAGCUAAAUACAUAAGGAACUUGACUUACAGGGCAUAAGGAACUUGACUUGCUUAGGUGUAAACUGUAAAGAGAGCAACUCUUUACGAGUAAAGAAAAUGAACCACAAUCCUCUUUAGUUGAUUAUCAUGAUUAAUUUCUAAUUCUGCUCAACUAUUCAGGAUGGGCUAUGAGGUAGAAAGUCUGAGAAAGGGAUUCAACUAAGGUUUAUUCAUUAUACAAUUUUCAGAAUAGUUCACUGCAAGAUUCAUUAGUUGUUUCAGUUCUCAAUAAAUUGCAUCAGAAGAAGCAUAUGAUCUGUCAAGAUAUGAUCUGUCCAGUUAUGCUUGGAAGCCUUGGAACUCAGAAUAGGUUAUUAGUGUAUAGCUAACAACUAAUGCUUUAGUUGAUAAUAAUAGGUAAAAUGGUUAGCCAUGACCUACCAUGCUGCAAUGUAAUUCCCCUAAUCCUUUUUAUUCUUGAGUUAAAUGAGAAUGUUGAUCAGCCAUCAAUCAUAUUGAGAUCAUUUGCUGAUAGGUUUCAAAAACUCAGGCAUGCCUUCUGGCAUCUGCUUGCUAGCUUGAUGAAACAUUUUUCUUCAAGAAUAUGUAAUCCAAUCUUUCAUGAAUCAACCAAAAUUUUGAGUGUAUUGCUGGUGCUUUCACUUUUGUAGUUCUCAAUUGUUUAACCAAUUUGGAUUCCUUAGUGUGGUAGUGAACCUAACAUCGACCAGUUAUGAUAGAUGAUCAACUUUCCAGUUUUUGUGUUAGAGGCUGGUUCCGUAGACCGCAUUUCAUUCUAGGUGUCAACUGUUUGUUAGAGUUUUGAGAGGAAGUCCAUUAUGUGGUACAAUUAGCAUGGAUCAUGGUUUGCGCUUAUCAAAGUUUAGUUGGAUAACCAUUUGUAGGACAAGUAUUAUACAUGUUCGGGUUAGAGUAGUGACAGAUGCUAUUUAGAAGUUAACUUUAACCAUCAUAAUAUUUCUAAAUUCUGAUGGCCUGGUAGGUUGUGUAAUAUGCUCAUGGGAAGUAUAUGUUGUGUUGUAGAGAUAGAUUCAGUUUUAAUUUUAUUUUCAGUUUCUGUUGAUGGCCAUUCAGAGGCUUUAUUAAUUUUUUGGCAUUUACAAAGCUGUAGAGGAACCAAAGACCUUCGAUUCAAUGAAAUUUCAUAUACUUUGGCCAAAUGGUUUAGUGGUUAUAGCUAUUUUUUUAUGGCAGCCUACCAGCCUGGAACUUCCGGGCAGAUUCUUAUGUGUGCUUUUAUAUCCAGGCAGAAGGAAAUAGAUGGGGUUCACUACCACUUUACAGCACGUAGUAAAAUAGAGAAAGAUAUAAGCGAGGGCAAAUUUCUUGAGUUUGCGCAUGUUCAUGGAAAUGUUUAUGGCACAAGUAUGUACUGAAGCAGCAGUUGAGGGGGUGUUUGGAAGACAGGAGUUAAAUUUUAGCCCCUAUCACAUCGGAUGUUUGGACGCUAAUUAGGAGUAUUAAAUAUAGGCUAA